GAUUUUGUUCCUGGCUCAGGACGAACGCGGGGGGCGUGUUUAACACAUGCAAGUAGAAGAGAAAGCCCCUGCUGGCAGGGUACUCGAGGGGCGAAGGGGUGAGUAACAAGUGGUUUUUCCCCCCUUCAUUUAGGGAUAACCGUGGGAAAGUGGUUUUAAUGCUGGAUAGGCCCAUCGUUUAGGUUGGGGGGUGAAAAGUUUUUCGGUGCAGGAUGAGCUCGCGGCCUAUCAGCUUGUUGGUGGGGUAAUGGCUUACCAAGGCUUCGACGGGUAGCCGGCCUGAGAGGGUGACCGGCCACAUUGGGACUGAGACACGGCCCAGACUCCUACGGGAGGCAGCAGUGGGGAAUAUUGCACAAUGGGCGCAAGCCUGAGCAGCGACGCCGCGUGGGGGAUGAAGGCCUUCGGGUUGUAAACCCCUUCAGACCAGACGAAGCGAUAAGUGACGUUAGUGGAGAUAAUGCC
rnacentral:rRNA from 1 species